rnacentral:ribozyme from 1 species
UGCCCAGCAACUCCUAUCCUUACCUCCUCGUGGUACUGGCCGGGAUCGGGUAACCAACCCUGGUGGGAACUUUGGUCGUAUGCUGACAGGGAAGG